rnacentral:rRNA from 1 species
GAUGGGCAUGCGUCCUAUUAGUUAGUUGGCGGGGUAACAGCCCACCAAGACGAUGAUAGGUAGGGGUUCUGAGAGGAAGGUCCCCCACAUUGGAACUGAGACACGGUCCAAACUCCUACGGGAGGCAGCAGUGAGGAAUAUUGGUCAAUGGACGUAAGUCUGAACCAGCCAAGUCGCGUGAGGGAAGACUGCCCUAUGGGUUGUAAACCUCUUUUAUAAGGGAAGAAUAAGUUCUACGUGUAGAAUGAUGCCUGUACCUUAUGAAUAAGCAUCGGCUAACUCCGUGCCAGCAGCCGCGGUAAUACGGAGGAUGCGGGCGUUAUCCGGAUUUAUUGGGUUUAAAGGGUGCGUAGGCGGUUUAUUAAGUUAGUGGUUAAAUAUUUGAGCUAAACUCAAUUGUGCCAUUAAUACUGGUAAACUGGAGUACAGACGAGGUAGGCGGAAUAAGUUAAGUAGCGGUGAAAUGCAUAGAUAUAACUUAGAACUCCGAUAGCGAAGGCAGCUUACCAGACUGUAACUGACGCUGAUGCACGAGAGCGUGGGUAGCGAACAGGAUUAGAUACCCUGGUAGUCCACG